ensembl:miRNA
CUAGUGGUGAUGCUGGUUACAGCUGGGACCUCGGCUGGGGUGUCAGGCAGAACACUUCCUAUAUGUGAUCUCUCCAUCUGGGCUAGUUUGGGCUUCCAAACUAGCAUGGCACUAGGUCUUGAGAC